rnacentral:rRNA from 1 species
GAUGAACGCUGGCGGCGUGCCUAAUACAUGCAAGUCGAGCGGACAGACGAGGAGCUUGCUCCUUCGACGUUAGCGGCGGACGGGUGAGUAACACGUAGGUAACCUACCUAUAAGACUGGGAUAACUUCGGGAAACCGGAGCUAAUACCGGAUAAUAUUUCGAACCGCAUGGUUCGAUAGUGAAAGAUGGCUUUGCUAUCACUUAUAGAUGGACCUGCGCCGUAUUAGCUAGUUGGUAAGGUAACGGCUUACCAAGGCAACGAUACGUAGCCGACCUGAGAGGGUGAUCGGCCACACUGGAACUGAGACACGGUCCAGACUCCUACGGGAGGCAGCAGUAGGGAAUCUUCCGCAAUGGGCGAAAGCCUGACGGAGCAACGCCGCGUGAGUGAUGAAGGUCUUCGGAUCGUAAAACUCUGUUAUUAGGGAAGAACAAACGUGUAAGUAACUGUGCACGUCUUGACGGUACCUAAUCAGAAAGCCACGGCUAACUACGUG